rnacentral:ncRNA from 2 species
CGUGAACGACAGGGGAGCGCCGUCACGGGCGCUGAGAGUGCGGACCGCCGCAGACCCUCGAACCUGAUCCGGCCAGAACCGGCGUAGGGAGUCGAAGAUCAUCUCCC